CCCGGCUGCGCCCCGCUAACUCGACACCCACACACUACCUUUUUUCAGAUGCGGCCGCGACAGCCACUGGACCUAGGAGAGCGCUCGGACGCCAUGUUGGCUUCCGGCAAAGCUCUCCGCAAAGGUUCUACGCACGCGCAAUGACGCGCCGAACACCGACGUCUCACGAAACGCAUGCGCGCCUGAAACUCCACAAACUACCCGCUCCUUACUUCUCCGGCACCAUAGGGCGUAUUGUGUCAUCAUCAAGAGUUUGGGAUCUAAGACAGUGAUGAAAGAGACCUUAAAAGUCAUGAAAUCCAGACAUUUUCAAGUGAGGAAACAGGUCCAAAGAGGUCACGGCACUUAUUCAAUGUCCCACAAUCUCCAUAGCAGAGCAUCUGAAAGGAACAUCUUCCGCCUGUGUCAGCAUUUCCCAUUGUUCUGGAGGUGGGUACCCCAAUCUUUCUCUAAGCAUCUCUGAGUCUACCACAAUCCCUUAUUUUUAGAAAGCUGUGUCCCAACCAUCUGGAGGGAGAAGUCCCUCCCUUUCAUUACUGCACACCUAGAAGAGAAACUUGUCAUCCAUACUAUUCAGUUAUUGUUAUUUAUUAUCAUCAUUAAUACUAUUGUAAUUUAAUAACAAGACACAUUUGUCUUCAAUUUUUUCUUAAUAGUCGGUUUUUCUGCUUUCUUCAACCAUCCUGUUUACCAAAUGAAAAAUAUAAGUUACUCUUAAAGGGACAGGAUGAGGGGCGGAGAGAGGCUGAGUAGGUGAGACUUACUUAGGUGGAAUCAUGUGUACGAUCAAUCCAAACUCGCCAUGUGAACCACAACCACUGUAUUUAUAGUGCAGUGAAUCUUCUAUAGAGAUGAAAAGUCCCAACACCAGAAAGCAGUGCUGCAUGGUGAAUAAUCCGAAGACAGAAAAACCACCAAAGGGUAUUCUUUGAAGAAAAAUACCUACUUGGCCCAUGAAGGAUCUGACCACAUAUCAUUAUGAGUCAUAGUAAAAUCGUUCC
rnacentral:lncRNA from 1 species